UACAGAGGUCCCAAGCGUUGUUCGGAUUCACUGGGCGUAAAGGGUGCGUAGGUGGUCGGGUAAGUCUGAUGUGAAAUCUCCGAGCUUAACUUGGAAACUGCAUCGGAUACUAUUUGGCUAGAGGGUUGGAGGGGGGACUGGAAUACUUGGUGUAACAGUGAAAUGCGUAGAUAUCAAGUGGAACACCAGUGGCAAAGGCGAGUCCCUGGACAACUCCUGACACUGAGGCACGAAAGCUAGUGAAGCAAACAGG
rnacentral:rRNA from 1 species